AUACAAGUCACCUGGGGAGCUGGUUAGAAUGCAGAUUCUGAUCCAGCAGGUCAGGCUGGGGCCUGGGAUCCUGCAUUUCUAACAAGUGCCCAGGUGACUCUGGU
rnacentral:pre_miRNA from 1 species